UAGGGAAUCUUCGGCAAUGGGGGCAACCCUGACCGAGCAACGCCGCGUGAGUGAAGAAGGUUUUCGGAUCGUAAAGCUCUGUUGUAGGUCAAGAACGGGUGUGAGAGUGGAAAGUUCACACUGUGACGGUAGCUUACCAGAAAGGGACGGCUAACUACGUGCCAGCAGCCGCGGUAAUACGUAGGUCCCGAGCGUUGUCCGGAUUUAUUGGGCGUAAAGCGAGCGCAGGCGGUUUGAUAAGUCUGAAGUUAAAGGCUGUGGCUCAACCAUAGUUCGCUUUGGAAACUGUCAAACUUGAGUGCAGAAGGGGAGAGUGGAAUUCCAUGUGUAGCGGUGAAAUGCGUAGAUAUAUGGAGGAACACCGGUGGCGAAAGCGGCUCUCUGGUCUGUAACUGACGCUGAGGCUCGAAAGCGUGGGGAGCGAACAGGAUUAGAUACCCUGGUAGUCCACGCCGUAAACGAUGAGUGCUAGGUGUUGGAUCCUUUCCGGGAUUCAGUGCCGCAGCUAACGCAUUAAGCACUCCGCCUGGGGGAGUACGACCGCAAGGUUGAAAC
rnacentral:rRNA from 1 species